rnacentral:rRNA from 1 species
GUUAAGCGACUAAGCGUACACGGUGGAUGCCCUGGCAGUCAGAGGCGAUGAAGGACGUGCUAAUCUGCGAUAAGCGUCGGUAAGGUGAUAUGAACCGUUAUAACCGGCGAUUUCCGAAUGGGGAAACCCAGUGUGAUUCGUCACACUAUCAUUAACUGAAUCCAUAGGUUAAUGAGGCGAACCGGGGGAACUGAAACAUCUAAGUACCCCGAGGAAAAGAAAUCAACCGAGAUUCCCCCAGUAGCGGCGAGCGAACGGGGAGCAGCCCAGAGCCUGAAUCAGUGUGUGUGUUAGUGGAAGCGUCUGGAAAGGCGCGCGAUACAGGGUGACAGCCCCGUACACAAAAAUGCACAUGCUGUGAGCUCGAUGAGUAGGGCGGGACACGUGGUAUCCUGUCUGAAUAUGGGGGGACCAUCCUCCAAGGCUAAAUACUCCUGACUGACCGAUAGUGAACCAGUACCGUGAGGGAAAGGCGAAAAGAACCCCGGCGAGGGGAGUGAAAAAGAACCUGAAACCGUGUACGUACAAGCAGUGGGAGCACGCUUAGGCGUGUGACUGCGUACCUUUUGUAUAAUGGGUCAGCGACUUAUAUUCUGUAGCAAGGUUAACCGAAUAGGGGAGCCGAAGGGAAACCGAGUCUUAACUGGGCGUUAAGUUGCAGGGUAUAGACCCGAAACCCGGUGAUCUAGCCAUGGGCAGGUUGAAGGUUGGGUAACACUAACUGGAGGACCGAACCGACUAAUGUUGAAAAAUUAGCGGAUGACUUGUGGCUGGGGGUGAAAGGCCAAUCAAACCGGGAGAUAGCUGGUUCUCCCCGAAAGCUAUUUAGGUAGCGCCUCGUGAAUUCAUCUCCGGGGGUAGAGCACUGUUUCGGCAAGGGGGUCAUCCCGACUUACCAACCCGAUGCAAACUGCGAAUACCGGAGAAUGUUAUCACGGGAGACACACGGCGGGUGCUAACGUCCGUCGUGAAGAGGGAAACAACCCAGACCGCCAGCUAAGGUCCCAAAGUCAUGGUUAAGUGGGAAACGAUGUGGGAAGGCCCAGACAGCCAGGAUGUUGGCUUAGAAGCAGCCAUCAUUUAAAGAAAGCGUAAUAGCUCACUGGUCGAGUCGGCCUGCGCGGAAGAUGUAACGGGGCUAAACCAUGCACCGAAGCUGCGGCAGCGACACUGUGUGUUGUUGGGUAGGGGAGCGUUCUGUAAGCCUGCGAAGGUGUGCUGUGAGGCAUGCUGGAGGUAUCAGAAGUGCGAAUGCUGACAUAAGUAACGAUAAAGCGGGUGAAAAGCCCGCUCGCCGGAAGACCAAGGGUUCCUGUCCAACGUUAAUCGGGGCAGGGUGAGUCGACCCCUAAGGCGAGGCCGAAAGGCGUAGUCGAUGGGAAACAGGUUAAUAUUCCUGUACUUGGUGUUACUGCGAAGGGGGGACGGAGAAGGCUAUGUUGGCCGGGCGACGGUUGUCCCGGUUUAAGCGUGUAGGCUGGUUUUCCAGGCAAAUCCGGAAAAUCAAGGCUGAGGCGUGAUGACGAGGCACUACGGUGCUGAAGCAACAAAUGCCCUGCUUCCAGGAAAAGCCUCUAAGCAUCAGGUAACAUCAAAUCGUACCCCAAACCGACACAGGUGGUCAGGUAGAGAAUACCAAGGCGCUUGAGAGAACUCGGGUGAAGGAACUAGGCAAAAUGGUGCCGUAACUUCGGGAGAAGGCACGCUGAUACGUAGGUGAAGUCCCUCGCGGAUGGAGCUGAAAUCAGUCGAAGAUACCAGCUGGCUGCAACUGUUUAUUAAAAACACAGCACUGUGCAAACACGAAAGUGGACGUAUACGGUGUGACGCCUGCCCGGUGCCGGAAGGUUAAUUGAUGGGGUCAGCGCAAGCGAAGCUCUUGAUCGAAGCCCCGGUAAACGGCGGCCGUAACUAUAACGGUCCUAAGGUAGCGAAAUUCCUUGUCGGGUAAGUUCCGACCUGCACGAAUGGCGUAAUGAUGGCCAGGCUGUCUCCACCCGAGACUCAGUGAAAUUGAACUCGCUGUGAAGAUGCAGUGUACCCGCGGCAAGACGGAAAGACCCCGUGAACCUUUACUAUAGCUUGACACUGAACAUUGAGCCUUGAUGUGUAGGAUAGGUGGGAGGCUUUGAAGUGUGGACGCCAGUCUGCAUGGAGCCGACCUUGAAAUACCACCCUUUAAUGUUUGAUGUUCUAACGUUGACCCGUAAUCCGGGUUGCGGACAGUGUCUGGUGGGUAGUUUGACUGGGGCGGUCUCCUCCUAAAGAGUAACGGAGGAGCACGAAGGUUGGCUAAUCCUGGUCGGACAUCAGGAGGUUAGUGCAAUGGCAUAAGCCAGCUUGACUGCGAGCGUGACGGCGCGAGCAGGUGCGAAAGCAGGUCAUAGUGAUCCGGUGGUUCUGAAUGGAAGGGCCAUCGCUCAACGGAUAAAAGGUACUCCGGGGAUAACAGGCUGAUACCGCCCAAGAGUUCAUAUCGACGGCGGUGUUUGGCACCUCGAUGUCGGCUCAUCACAUCCUGGGGCUGAAGUAGGUCCCAAGGGUAUGGCUGUUCGCCAUUUAAAGUGGUACGCGAGCUGGGUUUAGAACGUCGUGAGACAGUUCGGUCCCUA